rnacentral:rRNA from 1 species
GUCGAGCGACAGAUAAGGAGCUUGCUCCUUUGACGUUAGCGGCGGACGGGUGAGUAACACGUGGAUAACCUACCUAUAAGACUGGGAUAACUUCGGGAAACCGGAGCUAAUACCGGAUAACAUAUUGAACCGCAUGGUUCAAUAGUGAAAGGCGGCUUUGCUGUCACUUAUAGAUGGAUCCGCGCCGUAUUAGCUAGUUGGUAAGGUAACGGCUUACCAAGGCAACGAUACGUAGCCGACCUGAGAGGGUGAUCGGCCACACUGGAACUGAGACACGGUCCAGACUCCUACGGGAGGCAGCAGUAGGGAAUCUUCCGCAAUGGGCGAAAGCCUGACGGAGCAACGCCGCGUGAGUGAUGAAGGUCUUCGGAUCGUAAAACUCUGUUAUCAGGGAAGAACAAAUGUGUAAGUAACUGUGCACAUCUUGACGGUACCUGAUCAGAAAGCCACGGCUAACUACGUGCCAGCAGCCGCGGUAAUACGUAGGUGGCAAGCGUUAUCCGGAAUUAUUGGGCGUAAAGCGCGCGUAGGCGGUUUUUUAAGUCUGAUGUGAAAGCCCACGGCUCAACCGUGGAGGGUCAUUGGAAACUGGAAAACUUGAGUGCAGAAGAGGAAAGUGGAAUUCCAUGUGUAGCGGUGAAAUGCGCAGAGAUAUGGAGGAACACCAGUGGCGAAGGCGACUUUCUGGUCUGUAACUGACGCUGAUGUGCGAAAGCGUGGGGAUCAAACAGGAUUAGAUACCCUGGUAGUCCACGCCGUAAACGAUGAGUGCUAAGUGUUAAGGGGGUUUCCGCCCCUUAGUGCUGCAGCUAACGCAUUAAGCACUCCGCCUGGGGGAGUACGACCGCAAGGUUGAAACUCAAAGGAAUUGACGGGGACCCGCACAAGCGGUGGAACCAUGGUGGUUUAAUUCGAAGCAACGCGAAGAACCUUACCAAAUCUUGACAUCCUUUGACCGCUCUAGAAGAUAGAGUCUUCCCCUUCGGGGGACAAAGUGACAGGUGGGGGCAAGGGUUGUCGUCAGCUCGUGUCCUGGAAAAGGUUGGGGUUAAGUCCCGCAACGAGCGCAACCCUUAAGCUUAGUUGC